rnacentral:rRNA from 1 species
AGUAUUUUGACUAUACAAAGGUAUUGAAAUAAGACUUUAAUUGAGUGCUAAGAGAAUGGAAUUUCAUAAAAUUUCUUUUUUAAUUUUAAAAAUUGAAAUUAAUUUUAUAUGUGAAGAAACAAUAAUAAAAAUUAAGGACAAGAAGACCCUAAGAAUUUUAAAAAUUUUAAUAAAAUACAGCAUUUUAUUGAAAUUUUUUAAUUGGGGCGAUUAUUAAAUAUUAAAAACUUUAAUUUUUUAAAAAAGAACCAAUAAUAUUGGUUAUUUGAAAAAAUACUCUAGGGAUAACAGCGUAAUAAUUUUUGAUAGUUCUUAUAGACAAAAUAGUUUGCGACCUCGAUGUUGGAUUAGGAUUCUUUUUUAAUGAAGAAGUUAAAAAAAGAAGUUUGUUCAACUUUUAAAAUCCU